UUCCGAAUGGGGAAACCCGGCAGUCGUCAUGGGCUGUCACCCGCUGCUGAACUCAUAGGCAGUGUGGAGGGAACGCGGGGAAGUGAAACAUCUCAGUACCCGCAGGAAGAGAAAACAACCGUGAUUCCGGGAGUAGUGGCGAGCGAAACUGGAUGAGGCCAAACCGUAUGUGUGUGAUACCCGGCAGGGGUUGCGCAUGCGGGGUUGUGGGAUCUCUCUUCCACGGUCUGCCGGCCGUGGGACGAGUCAGAAACCGUUGAUGUAGGCGAAGGACAUGCGAAAGGUCCGGCGUAGAGGGUAAGACCCCCGUAGUCGAAACAUUAGCGGCUCGUUUGAGAGACACCCAAGUAGCACGGGGCCCGAGAAAUCCCGUGUGAAUCUGGCGGGACCACCCGCUAAGCCUAAAUAUUCCCUGGUGACCGAUAGCGGAUAGUACCGUGAGGGAAUGGUGAAAAGUACCGCGGGAGCGGAGUGAAAUAGUACCUGAAACCGUGUGCCUACAAGCCGUGGGAGCGUCGCGCAUCGAGUUUGCUCGGUGCGUCGUGACUGCGUGCCUUUUGAAGAAUGAGCCUGCGAGUUAGCGGUGUGUAGCGAGGUUAACCCGUGUGGGGAAGCCGUAGCGAAAGCGAGUCCGAACAGGGCGAUUUGAGUUGCACGCUCUAGACCCGAAGCGGAGUGAUCUAGCCAUGGGCAGGUUGAAGCGGCUGUAAGAGGUCGUGGAGGACCGAACCCACCAGGGUUGAAAACCUGGGGGAUGACCUGUGGUUAGGGGUGAAAGGCCAAUCAAACUCCGUGAUAGCUGGUUCUCCCCGAAAUGCAUUUAGGUGCAGCGUCGUGUGUUUCUUGCCGGAGGUAGAGCACUGGAUAGGCGAUGGGCCCUACCGGGUUACUGACCUUAGCCAAACUCCGAAUGCCGGUAAGUGAGAGCGCGGCAGUGAGACUGUGGGGGAUAAGCUCCAUGGUCGAGAGGGAAACAGCCCAGAGCAUCGACUAAGGCCCCUAAGCGUACGCUAAGUGGGAAAGGAUGUGGAGUCGCAGAGACAACCAGGAGGUUGGCUUAGAAGCAGCCACCCUUGAAAGAGUGCGUAAUAGCUCACUGGUCUAGUGAUUCCGCGCCGACAAUGUAGCGGGGCUCAAGCGUACCGCCGAAGUCGUGUCAUUGCAGCAAUACUCCCAACGGAGGCUGUGAUGGGUAGGGGAGCGUCGUGUGCCGGGUGAAGCAGCCGUGGAAGCGAGUUGUGGACGGUUCACGAGUGAGAAUGCAGGCAUGAGUAGCGAUUCACACGUGAGAAACGUGUGCGCCGAUUGACUAAGGGUUCCUGGGUCAAGCUGAUCUGCCCAGGGUAAGUCGGGACCUAAGGCGAGGCCGACAGGCGUAGUCGAUGGAUAACCGGUUGAUAUUCCGGUACCCGCUGUGAAGCGUCAAACAUUGAAUCCAGCGAUGCUAAGCCCGUGAAGCCGUUCCGGACCCUUCGGGGUAUGGGAAGUGGUGGAGCCGGUGGCCCGAGCUGGUAGUAGGUGAGUGAUGGGGUGACGCAGGAAGGUAGUCCAUCCCGGGCGGUGGUUGUCCCGGGGUAAGGGUGUAGGCCGUGCGAUAGGUAAAUCCGUCGUACAUGUGGCUGAGACCUGAUGCCGAGCCGAUUGUGGUGAAGUGGAUGAUCCUAUGCUGUCGAGAAAAGCCUCUAGCGAGUUUCAUGGCGGCCCGUACCCUAAACCGACUCAGGUGGUCAGGUAGAGAAUACCGAGGCGUUCGGGUGAACUAUGGUUAAGGAACUCGGCAAAAUGCCCCCGUAACUUCGGGAGAAGGGGGGCCAUGUCUGGUGAUGAGUCUUGCACUCUGAGCUGGGUGUGGCCGCAGAGACCAGCGAGAAGCGACUGUUUACUAAAAACACAGGUCCGUGCGAAGCCGUAAGGCGAUGUAUACGGACUGACGCCUGCCCGGUGCUGGAACGUUAAGGGGACCGGUUAGUCACAUUUCGGUGUGGCGAAGCUGAGAACUUAAGCGCCAGUAAACGGCGGUGGUAACUAUAACCAUCCUAAGGUAGCGAAAUUCCUUGUCGGGUAAGUUCCGACCUGCACGAAUGGCGUAACGACUUCUCGACUGUCUCAACCAUAGGCCCGGUGAAAUUGCAUUACGAGUAAAGAUGCUCGUUUCGCGCAGCAGGACGGAAAGACCCCGGGACCUUUACUACAGUUUGAUAUUGGUGUUCGGUUCGGCUUGUGUAGGAUAGGUGGGAGACUGUGAAGCAUGCACGCCAGUGUGUGUGGAGUCGUCGUUGAAAUACCACUCUGGUCGUGCUGGAUGUCUAACCUGGGUCCGUGAUCCGGAUCAGGGACAGUGUCUGAUGGGUAGUUUAACUGGGGCGGUUGCCUCCUAAAGAGUAACGGAGGCGCCCAAAGGUUCCCUCAGCCUGGUUGGUAAUCAGGUGUUGAGUGUAAGUGCACAAGGGAGCUUGACUGUGAGACCGACGGGUCGAGCAGGGAAAGUCGGGA
rnacentral:rRNA from 1 species